UGCAUGAGCCUGCUGGAAACCUCCGACUUAUUAGGUUUUAAAUCUCUAGGAGUGUGAUUAAUCACCCUUAAUUCAUCACUGUCAUCUCCACCUGGUGCGAAAGGUAUGAUAAUAGCUAACAUGUAUUGAGCACUUACUGUGUGCCUGGUGUUUUGCGAAGCCUUUUGCACUCAUUAUCUUAUUCAAUUAACUCACAUAAAAAGGGAACUCUGUCAUCACUUACCAGGUCUUAGAAUGUGGUCUACCUGUUAUCAGAUAAGCCACAUUCACUGCACUAGAUCCCUAGGUGAGCAGAGCGAGGAAGUCAGAGCAGAUGAAACAAAAACUGCCAGGAGAAUGUCCGUACAGCAGCAGGACCACAUACUGUCAG
rnacentral:lncRNA from 10 species